rnacentral:rRNA from 1 species
ACACUGACGUCGCGACGCAUAUCAAUAAGCGGAGGAAAAGAAACUAACAAGGAUUCCCCUAGUAAUGGCGAGUGAAGCGGGAAGAGCUCAAAUUUGAAAUCUUAAAGGGUUUCCCUUUACGAAUUGUAGUUUAAAGAAGUGUUUUCUGUUGAGGUUUUGGUAAAAGUUCUUUGGAAUAGGACAUCAUAGAGGGUGAGAAUCCCGUAUUUGACCUUUACUUUCAACUUUGUGAUACACUUUCAAAGGGUCGGAUUGUUUGGGAAUGCAGUCCAAAAUGGGUGGUAAAUUUCAUCUAAAGCUAAAUACUGGCGAGAGACCGAUAGCGAACAAGUACCGUGAGGGAAAGAUGAAAGGAACUUUGAAAAGAGAGUUAAACAGUACGUGAAAUUGUCAAAAGGGAAGCGUUUGACACCAGUGUUGUUUAGUUGAAAAUCAAUUCAAUAAUUUUUGAUUUUAAGUAGUAUUGACUUCAUCAGCUUGCUGCUUUCUUUUCAGGAAUUAUUGAAUGCACUUUUCAGUUAACAAGUCAACAUCAAUUUCUUUUGUUGUAAAAGGGUAAGAGGAAGGUGGCUUACGUUUCGGCGUAAGUGUUUAUAGCCUUUUACCUCUGCAAUCGGAGAGAUUGAGGCCAGCAGCGUAGACUCCUUCUGGGGUUAGAUACACUUGUGCUAAGCUAUAGCCUUGUAUAGACAACUUGUUGACUAUGCUCAGUCAUGUAGCUUACUCGCUUGUGCUAUUUUACCUACGCUUAGGAUGUUGAAGAUGUAGCACAUCAUACACGCAUGACACACUGCAUAUCAAUAAGCGGAGGAAAAGAGGGCUAUUACCUACGCUUAGGAUGUUGACGAGACUGUCGAUCUCAUCUACACUGACGUCGCGACGCAUAUCAAUAAGCGGAGGAAAAGAGGGCUACUACCUACGCUUAGGAUGUUGAUGUGAUACUGCGAGCA